GUGCUUGCUUCAGCAGCACAUAUACUAAAAUUGGAAUGAUACAAAGAUUAGCAUGUCCUUUGCACAAGGAUGACAUGCAAAUUCGUGAAGCAUUCCAUAUUUAA
rnacentral:snRNA from 1 species